rnacentral:rRNA from 1 species
GUGAGGAAUAUUGGUCAAUGGGCGGAAGCCUGAACCAGCCAAGUCGCGUGAGGGAUUAAGGCCCUAUGGGUCGUAAACCUCUUUUGUCAGGGAGCAAUGGCGUCCACGUGUGGGCGUAUGGAGAGUACCUGAAGAAAAAGCAUCGGCUAACUCCGUGCCAGCAGCCGCGGUAAUACGGAGGAUGCGAGCGUUAUCCGGAUUUAUUGGGUUUAAAGGGUGCGUAGGCGGGACCUUAAGUCAGCGGUAAAAUUGCGGUGCUCAACGCCGUAGAGCCGUUGAAACUGGGGUUCUUGAGUGAGCGAGAAGUAUGCGGAAUGCGUGGUGUAGCGGUGAAAUGCAUAGAUAUCACGCAGAACCCCGAUUGCGAAGGCAGCAUACCGGCGCUCAACUGACGCUGAGGCACGAAAGUGCGGGUAUCGAACAGGAUUAGAAACCCUAGUAGUCC